rnacentral:rRNA from 1 species
UGGUGGAGUGAUUUGUCUGGUUAAUUCCGUUAACGAACGAGACCCCCACCUGCUAAAUAGAUAAAUUUGUGUUACCACUGAUUCAUCUUCUUAGAGGGACGUGCAUUCAUUUAGUUGCAGGAAGAUAGGGGCCAUAACA